AUUGAACGCUGGCGGCAUGCCUUACACAUGCAAGUCGAACGGCAGCACGGGAGCUUGCUCCUGGUGGCGAGUGGCGAACGGGUGAGUAAUGCAUCGGAACGUGCCCUGAAGUGGGGGAUAACGUAGCGAAAGUUACGCUAAUACCGCAUAUUCUGUGAGCAGGAAAGCAGGGGAUCUUCGGACCUUGCGCUUUUGGAGCGGCCGAUGUCGGAUUAGCUAGUUGGUGGGGUAAAGGCCCACCAAGGCGACGAUCCGUAGCGGGUCUGAGAGGAUGAUCAGCCACACUGGGACUGAGACACGGCCCAGACUCCUACGGGAGGCAGCAGUGGGGAAUAUUGGACAAUGGGCGGCAAGCCUGAUCCAGCAAUGCCGCGUGUGUGAAGAAGGCCUGCGGGUUGGUAAAGCAC
rnacentral:rRNA from 1 species